AGUGAACGCUGGCGGUAGGCCUAACACAUGCAAGUCGAACGGCAGCACAGUAAGAGCUUGCUCUUACGGGUGGCGAGUGGCGGACGGGUGAGGAAUACAUCGGAAUCUACUUUUUCGUGGGGGAUAACGUAGGGAAACUUACGCUAAUACCGCAUACGACCUACGGGUGAAAGCAGGGGAUCUUUGGACCUUGCGCGAUUGAAUGAGCCGAUGUCGGAUUGGAUAGUUGGCGGGGUAAAGGCCCACCAAGGCGACGAUCCGUAGCUGGUCUGAGAGGAUGAUCAGCCACACUGGAACUGAGACACGGUCCAGACUCCUACGGGAGGCAGCAGUGGGGAAUAUUGGACAAUGGACGCAAGCCUGAUCCAGCCAUACCGCGUGGGUGAAGAAGGCCUUCGGGUUGUAAAGCCCUUUUGUUGGGAAAGAAAAGCAGCAGGUUAAUACCCCGCUGUUCUGACGGUACCCAAAGAAUAAGCACCGGCUAACUUCGUG
rnacentral:rRNA from 1 species